rnacentral:lncRNA from 1 species
AUUAACAGUCCACAAAUUAGUAACAGUCUCUAUUAUCACAUGUCCAACACGAAUUAAUCAUUCCAAAUGAACACAAAAAAAAAAAAAAAAAUGUAUAUGAACUAAGGCAACAACAAAAUGCUUGCACUUCAAUUUCUCUUUCAAUUUAUUUUUAUUCAGCUCGCAGUCAAAUAUAUCACUCAACAGUGGAGAUAAGUACCUGAAAUAGCAAUGAAAUGGAAGAGAGGAGAUGGUUCAAUAGCAGUAACACACAGCAGGUCACAACAACCACAUAUUUGAGUUCAAAUAACACCAACCAACCCAGUUUCUACCCAGAAAUAUAUUUAUCAGUCCAGGAAGAGUUCAGAAAUGUUUAAAAACCAACAAGGUCAAUGGAUCAAGCCAACACAGAUUUGAAUACACCCAAAUAACCUUCAAAUUGAACCCAAAAUCACUUAAAUUUUCCAGCAAACCAGAGCUUCACCAAAAUCGAGCUAAAUAGACCAAAAUACUCGGAGUCCAGCCAAUUAACUUCCACAUAAAUUCAGCAAACCAGUAGGAUACUAAGAUCACUGACUAAAAUUGAAACUAGCCUAAAAUUCCUAAUGAAAUAGUAACUUUUUUUUUUUUGUUUUUUUUUUUUUUUUUUUGGUUUUAAAUUGAAACUAGCCUAAAAUUCCUAAUGAAAUAGUAACUUUUUUUUUUUUUUUUUUUUUUUUUUUUUUUGGUUUUUGAAAUCUGAGUUUCUACUUCAAAGCUGAAAGAACUAAAGAGAGGAAAUUGUUUUUGGGAUUAGAUCGCCGUAAAGAAGACCCCUCCUAAGGCAUGAGAAUGCCAAUUUAUAGGCACCAAAAGGGUGAACAAUUAGAAUUUUGACUUGUUACUCAAGUAAGUGCGCACUUAUUUGGCUGAAAUUUACACUAAAGUACUAUCUAGAAGUCCCUAGGCUGUUCUUCUACCUUGACAAUACUUAUACUACCCUUGUUUUAUUUUGGAAUUACUAUUCUUAACAAAACUGCCAUUUUCCAUGCCUAAACUACCCUUGAAACCUCCCUGAAAUUUCUGACCGAUCAGACCCCUUUUACCUUAGUUAAAAAUCAACCUCGACUAACUAAAAUGAUCUAAACUAUUAAGCUAUAUCCAAACCUUAAGCCUAAUUAAAUUGCAAAUGAAUACUAAACUAAAAGAGCAAUUAAAACUAAGCUAAAAAUACUAAAUUAAUCAAACAGGAAUCAAACACUACUCAAAACACUUAUAACUAAAAUUUAUCAUAAAACAAACUCAAUUUGCCAAAUAAUACAUUGCUUAUUAGAAAUGCCAAACAUUUAACUAAACUAUAAUAAAAGCUAACUACACUACCAUUUGAACCCAUCAAAACCAACUAUCAAAAUUACUACGACUUGGGAACAAUUAAACAAUCGAAACAAAACUAAAUAUGCCCAUAUCAAUGUUGCUGAAAAUCAACAGUCAAAGCAGAACAAAGAAAACAAAUCAAACUUAAACUAACAGGAAACGAUUAUCGAGAAUCCAAUCAAGGCAGAAGCAAACAAUUGCAUUGAAAGAACCAAAAAGAAAAUAAAAAUAAAAAUAAAGAAAACUUACUGAAUUUGGGCGUUAAUGCAUUAAUUCCAAAAUUGGCCUUAAAAUGAUAUUAAAUGCUUAUUCCAAAUUAAAUGAACACAUAAUAUCGUUUUUAGGGUCAUUAGGCACUGAUAAUUAAGAGACGCUAUUUUGCCUUACUGGAAAACCUAGAUUGACGAAUCAGUGAGCUCCGGUGAUAUUUGACAAAAACCAAGUGGAGAUUUGUGACGAGGGAGGACAGGUGAAUCAAUGGUGAAAAUUUGGUUGGGUUUGGACCACUUUGUGACUUGGCCGGAAAACUUUGGAAGUAAUUCACGAGCUACGGAUGGAUUCGAAAGGAGCUGAGUACAUGGUAGAAAAGAGGGGAACGACGGGAUUUAUUGGUGUUAUUUUGGGGUCGUUCCAUCGUCGGCUAAGACAAGACUGAAGUAGCAAGUGCGCUAAAAUUUUU